GGUUCCUUUCUGGAUAUAACCAUGAUUCCUCUCCAAGUAACCAAAUCAAAAAGCUAAAAAAUACUGCAGCCCAUGUUGCCUAGUGUAUGUGGUGGGUUCUAUGGGAAUUAGAAGUCAUAGUAUGACAGAAAAUAGAAUGUCUGAGAAGUGAUGCCUGUUUGGGAAGUGGUUUCUUUAAUCAGAAUUCUCUACGAGGUAACCAUUGGGAGAAACACGGUGAAGACCACAUAGGACCUCUCUGUACUACCCUGGUGAUUUUCUGUGAAUCUAUAAUUAUUUCAAAAUAAAGUUUUUAAAAUGA